rnacentral:rRNA from 1 species
ACGGGUGAGUAAUGCUUGGGAACAUGCCAUUAGGUGGGGGACAACAGUUGGAAACGACUGCUAAUACCGCAUAAUCUCUUAGGAGCAAAGGUGGGGCUCUUCGGACCUAUCGCCUAAUGAUUGGCCCAAGUGGGAUUAGCUAGUUGGUGAGGUAAUGGCUCACCAAGGCGACGAUCUCUAGCUGGUCUGAGAGGAUGAUCAGCCACACUGGAACUGAGACACGGUCCAGACUCC